UUUUUAACAAGUAGAAGCCAUAAGUUGGCUCAAAAAAGUGCCACCAAACACUCCAAUUCUGUCACUCAACUCCGACUAAGAGCACCAUCUGACUUUGGGGACCUUGAUUCUAGCUUCCAUUUCUGCGACUCUGAUCUAUUCUUUCCUUUGAUCUUGCCUAUUUCGGUUGUUUUUUGCAUAGAUUUGGGCUUGGGAUUUGUUAGAUCAUUACUCACUUUAGGAAAAUUGAAACUGCCCAUAUCCAAAACCUUCAUUAGAUUACCAGAAUCCCUGUUUCUGUGUCUUGCCGAGAUCCCUCUAUCAUUAGGAAAACACUCCCAUACUGAAAACCAUAAAAAAAACCCUUUAGCCGAGAUCAUGAGCAUGUUUAAGUGGAGAGUAGAUUCCCCUAGCAAACUCGAAUAUUUUAGCUAAGAAUUCAACAUCCCAGCCGACGUCUGUAUUAGGCUUACCGGAGAGAAUGACACUAUGAUGCCUGAGGAGAAUUACAUGCCUUUCCCCGUGGUGUCCAUUAUUGAGGGUGGAAUCUGAUUCCCCCUUGACAUUCUUUUCAGAGAAGUGUUGCACUUCUAUAAACUUAACCCUAUGCAAUUAGCCAUUAACACUUUUAGGGUUAUCAAUGGUAUAGCCGAGCUAUGCCGCCAUAACGCUAGAAUCACCUUUGCCAACAUCUAGUAUUGCUAUACCAUGUGUAGCCUCAAAUCUACCAGUGGCUACACUUAUUACCUCAAACCCCGAUCUACUGCCUACAAACUGAUAGCCGACCUUCCAAACUCCAACAAGGGCGCUGGAGAAGACUAUCUCAUUGUCUUGGGCAAUUAGGAGUCUGCACCAGAUGAUGAUAUCCACCUCUUCCCUUUGCACUGAGGAGCUUUUUGGGAAGAUGAGGAUAAAAAGUUAAUCCCCUCAAACCAUGCAUUUUUAACAUUGCAUUGCAUACUUAAUUAUUUUCUGACAUUUUUCUUCUUUACCCUGUUUUGCAGUGGUUCUCUAGCCAAGCAAAUUGUUUUGGAAGUCUAAUGUCUUGAGCCCCGACUUGAGAUGGCUUCUGGACUUACCUGUCCAAGACUACACCGAUCAAUAAUGGAGUAGAGCUUCUUCGAUUUGAUCUAUUUUCUACACUGCCCACGCCUCGCUGAGACAUUCCUCGACGUUUUGCUUUCUUCAAUCCCGAUUUGGCUCGCUGUCAUGAUCGGCCUUGUUAUUGGCUGGUCCUGGCGCCCUAGGUGGACCGGUCUGCUCUAUCUCGGUCACCGCUCCAAGCUCCGGUUCACCUGGACCGCGCCACCGGGGUUCGGGGCUUGGAGGUUCUGGCUCGCCUUCACGGCAUUUUCGGUUGGUUGGAGACUUUGGUCCAGGUUCAUUUGGAAAGGAAAUGACGGUUCUCUGGCGGCAGCGGCGGCACAGCUGGUCAAAAGUGGCGGUGACGUCAGUAUGCAGGGAACAGUGUGGUCUAUGGUGUGUGGCUGUUAUACGUGGUUAUGUCGUUGAAAUAGUUGGAAUUUUUGGAUAAUGUGCGUCGAUUUGUGGCAUUCGUAAUUAAGGAUGAAUCUGUACUAAUAUGGUUCUCGGGGAAAGAGGAGAAACACCUCAAACUAAGUCACAUGUCUAAAAUCAUUUCAAGGCAGCGCACUGUAAGUUUCUUGCUGUGAUGGCAAUAUCAUGUUUGGUGUUGCGGACACUUCAUCUAGUAAUCAAAGUUCAAGUGCUCGGCUUCCAGAAAGGAAUAAUAUGUAUCCUGAGCAGUUAACUCAUCUCAGUUGUGAACUACAACUCUUUAUGAGUUCAAGGAGAGCAUGCAGUCUGUAAUGUUUUUGUAGUGGAAGUAGAUAGAACCAUAGACAGACCUAAGUAGGUGACAUUCUAUUUGAAUAGACAAAAUUAGAGCUGGAAGGCUCUGAUCGUGCCUACUUUCUUGAAGGAGAAAAGCAAUCUCUUCACCAAGACUAAGGUACGAGGAUCUAGGCAUUGCUUUACAUUAUGGUGGAAUGUUGAGGUAGUGUAUACAUCAUCAAAGUGUAGCAAGGUAAGCAGUUUGAAAGCAUACAUUGGUAAUUGAUUUUUUUUUUCUUCUUUUUUUUCCUUUUCCCCUAUUUUUCCUUUUCUUUUUUUUCUUCUCCCCUUGUCCUUAUAAUCAAUCUUUUACUUAAACUAUUUUGUUCUAUCUUUUUGACAUAUCAUUGUUAAUUUGGUUGUACUGACGACUCUCUUUUAGGAGAACACCAAUUUUACCUAUUCUGCUGUAUUGUUGUUCUUGAGUUAGGUCUCACAGAUUCAUUCAAUAAGAAUUUACGGAUGAAAUGGAAAGGAGGCAUUUCUAGUCAAUUUCUGAAUUUCUUGUUCCUGAUGCUUUAAUUCUAUAUCUUGUUUCUCUUUUAAUCUUUAUAUGGUAAUUUUUUUGGUCUGUUUGGUUUUGUUCUCAGGGGUAUGUUUUAAAAUCAAAAAAUAUGAAGAAGUUUUUUGACUAUAUACAACUUCCAAAUUUCGACGUUGUUGCCGAUGCUACAGAAACCUUUAAGGUAGUGUUUUUUGCUAGUAAACAUUUACUACCUACUUAAUAAAUAAGUGUGCCUACAAUAUUAACUACACAACAAAAGGGCCAUUCUUUAGAUUUACAGGAGUGUAAUACUUAGUAGGCACAAAAUAUAGAAUAUUAUCAAACUAUGAAUGUCUUCAAAAGCCAUGUAUCUGUGUGUUUGUUUAUAUGUGCAUCACUAAGCAGUGGUGGAAUGGAGAAGGCUAUAGGUUGCUAUCAUGCUUCAUUCAGGUAUGCUUUAUAGGUAUUUUAUGAAUAAUAAUGCAAUACAAUUGUCAUUGUGUGCUACUGAUUUGUUGACUGAAACUUCCGUUAGUUUUUAGUAGGUGAAUGAUUGUUAUUGUUCACAUUGGUCAACAUGUAAUACACUAGUCAAUCAGUAGGCAUGUAAGUUGCAAUUGUUGUAAUCCGUGUGCUUUUCUUUUUUUCUUCCUUUUUUUGCCUUUUUUCUUUUUCCAUUUUUUCGGUGGUGGUAUUGCCAUAUUGUUGUUAUUGUCGUGAGUGUUGGUGUCUGUAUGCACAUAUCAUGUUGUUCUUUGGUUGAAACAUGCCUACAAACUCUUUAAUGGUGUGUAUGUCUAAUUUUUUUGAAGAAAGUGAUAUGUGGUUAGGACUAAAAAACACUUUUAAGUGAAUGGAAAUGAAAAUGCAUAUUAAUUCUUGGGUUUUUACAUAGACUAGGAUUAUUUUAGACUUUUGUUAAAUAUAGUAAACAACAAAUUGUCUUUUAUUGUUCAUCUAAUGACUUGUGUGUGUGUUUUUUUUAUUUUUAUUUUAAUCAAAGGAAUUUAAUCCAAUAUUUGUUUAAGGAAGCGGUUGGGCUGAACCUACUUACUUUUCCAUAUGGGGGCAUGAAGUGUUGGUUUUAGUCAAAACUUGUAUUCUUUCCUGGGAUCCUUCACUUGAAAGGUGGCACUUCAUAAUGCUCUGAUGGUUGCCCAUCGCCUGAAAAGCUAUCAUUGUAAUUAGCACAUAUUGUUUGAUGAAACUUGUAUCCUUCCUGAGAUCCUUCAUGUACAAUAGGCUUGUGUGUUCAUUUAUCUGUCUUGGGGCUGCUAUCCAUUUGGUUUUGAAGGCAUGCCUAGAAGAGCUUUAGAUGCAUAGAUUAUUGUUAUUCUUUUUCUAUCUAGCUUUAUUUGACCACAACUUUUUGAAAAUUUUAAAAUUUAAUAAAAAUUUAAUUUAUUUGAGAUUUCUAGACAAAAUGAUGGAAAAGAAGAUAGAGAGAAAAAAAUAACUAUUGCCAAAAAAUAGUUUUAAUGUUAAGUUAAUAAAAUUGAUUUAACUCAUUUUAUUCAAACUAUGAGAUAACUAUCGUCUAUCCUUUAUCACACAAGUUGAAACAAAUAGAUGGAGAAAGAGUAUUUCCUAGAAUUAAACAAAUUUAUAUAGACUUUAGACUCAUGUAUAUAUCAACCUUCACAGGGAAAUCUGAUGAUUGGAUAACAAGUUUAUUAUGCUUUUUGCUUUUUGGGAUUUGAAAAUUUCCCCGAACACGCAGGUUGAGGAACGUACUAUUCCAGUAGAGGAAUUGCGUGAUGGUUAUGAAGUUUUCUGCACAAGAACUGCUGUUGGUAUUGUUCCCGUUUUUAUCAUUCUGACAAAUUCAACUACAAAAGAAAUAGCUUAAUCUUAUAACUAAAGAUGGUGUGGUUCCUUCUUACUGUUAUUUUAUGCGAGAUGCAGGGCAUGAAGAUGCUAAUGCUUUGAUGAAAACAAAUUCAAGUACAAAAGAAAUAGCUUAAUGUUUGUAUUACUUCUAUAAUAUGUAUAUCUUCUUAGUCAUCAGAUGCUGGCUAACGACAUUGAUGAUUUCUGUAUACUGGCUGAAGUUUGAGUAUAGUGUUCUUUAUGAUUCUUGAUCUACUCAUUAAUUUUUUUUUACGGGUUUUCAAGUUUACAUUUCUUAUUCCGAUCACUAGGCAACAAAACUGAUCCUCUAAUUUGCUGAUUUUGCACUUUAUUAGGGUGCUGAUCUUAUGGUGUGGGUUGCAAAAAGGUCGAUGGUUGAUGAGCUGGAAGCAAUGCUCGAUGUGGUAGACCCUCAGCCUCCUCGCAGAUCUCUUUCCAUGCGAAGGAGGACAUUUGAUAUGGCCGAUGAUCUCAUCCAGAAGGAACUUGCAGCCGUUGUCGCUGAGGUCGUUCAAAUGCUUGAUCAAUAAAAUGGUACCUUUGACCCAUCCUUGUUAAGUCCAUAGAAAUAUGGUAAAAUCACCUCAUUUUGAGGUCACAAUGUUCUCUCAACUAGGUGUAGGAAGGUGCACUUCUACAUAUCUUUACCCUCUCAUUCAGCCCUAAUUGAGAAAUUUCUAAGACUCGUUAUCUAGUUGGUCGCGAAGAGUUUUAUUGUAUUGCUUUUACAGUUGAACUUACUGACCCAUUGAGGGUUGUUUGUGGUGCUUAAUUUUGUGUGUGAGGUUUAAUUUUGUGGUGUA